UUUUUGUCAUUGAAUAUUUAUCAGUUUAAUAAUUAUUAAUACAGGGAAUCACGAUCAAGCCCCUCGUAAAGAUCCUGAAUGUGAAACGAGCCGAAAAGAAGAAGCCGACCAUGAACGAAAGGAUCCACGAAAGGAUAAUAGACCACGUGAUGGCUGGGAUCGAGGACAUUUUGGGCAAGCAUGGCAAUUACCACGUUCGGGAUAAAUUCAAACGGUUCGAUAAUAAAUUUAUUCGCCCGUAUCUGGUGAGGAAUCACUACGGUGCCGAGCCGAAAAUAUUGGAAACGUAUUCGAAACUCGCUAUGAAAGACGCUCUGGAUUACAUCAGGAGGAACGCGUCCACCAUCGGCAAUAUCAGUGGAACUGAAAGCAUGUCCGCUAUAUUCCGCAACUAUAGCAACACGGGACAAUUCAAUGGAAGUCCAAGUUGCAGCCAGCUCGAAGCGGGCUGGAAUAUUGAUCUCCAAGAAUUGGAGUACAACCCUUCCAAGAAGGACUUGACGGACGCCAGGAUCCACCACCUAUUGGCCGAAGAACUUUGCAAGCCGUACAAGAGGCAUGGAACAAAACUGUUGCAGCAUCGGCGUUUAAGCUACAGCCGACACGCGGUGAACGAUCGCGACCUGUCAACCCAAGUCAAUUACAAAAUGCACAUGAACAUAAGACGGAUGAUGGGAGAGCACAAGCAUCGUCACAAGCGCAGUAAAAAAUUGCUCAAAGAUGGUAAGCAGAAUCACGUGAGUUUCCCGGAGUUCCAGCAAAACGGAUCAACCAAGUUGUUCACUCAAGAUUACAUCAACGGUGUCCUGUACGAGCUGGAAAACGGAGAUACUUCAAAGCCUUCGAGCAAGGAGGACUGGGACUCUGCGAUUACCUUCACGGCUCGCACUUCCGAUUCGUUGAACGUGAAUACAGAUGGCCACCACGGCGUCACCACCACUACCUCAAUGGAUACCAUAAAUACCGACGAUCCGGAUAUGAAAUUAGGACGCGACGAAAGUUACAGGGUAACAACACCAACAGCCACAGAAACUAUGUUGCCGUGGAAAAGGGAGGACGACUACGAUUCCGGUCACCCGAUCAAACAAAAUGAAUUUCCUGCUUGGUGUUCUAACAAAGAGUAUCUGGCUUAUAGCUCUCCUUCGGCGACAUUUUUAGGAGAGCCGUAUUUGUGAAGACAGGCCAGCUUAACGAGCUCGGAGGAUACAAACCUCGGACUUCCGGCCGAAGAACAUGUGGAAUCGAGCAGCCAAAGGUCCAGUCAGUAAUUGGUCUAUUCCGUCGCGAGAGCGUGUGCACUCCAGAUGGUAUCGAUUGCCAGGAAACUGUGGAUGAGCGUGACGAAUACACGUUGACGGGGACGGAACAGACCGAAGAUUCGCCUACGAAAACGUUUAGUGAAUACGAGAAAG
rnacentral:misc_RNA from 1 species